rnacentral:lncRNA from 1 species
AUGACUGUGAAGUCCUAAUUUCAGUGAUCUCGAAUUUCCCUACUGCUGGGUGAUAAUUUUGUCCCUCAAAGUUACUGCCUAGAUGCCAGGAGUAUGUUGUCUUGUGGCUAGUUCUGUGGCUUUGAGGAUGCAGUAAGGUAUCUGCAGCACCUGAUCAGCUGGUUUAAGCUCCUGCAAACUGAAUCUGUACUGAGGGUGAAUGAGGCAAAUACGCAGCAGGAUGCGUAGUGCAUGUCACCUGUAUCUUCAUACACAACCAGAGAAACUUCUUAAAGGCAAGAGGGAAGAAGGAGAGAAGGAAAGGAAGAAGUCAGCCUGAGCUCUGCCAGCACUGUCAGAGGUGGGACAGCAAGAGCUGAGAUUUGUCUCUGCUGGAGACCAGAGGCACUUACAAUCUCCUGAGGCUGGAAAAGAACUUCUGGGACU